rnacentral:rRNA from 1 species
UACGUAGGGUGCGAGCGUUGUCCGGAAUUAUUGGGCGUAAAGAGCUCGUAGGCGGUGUGUCGCGUCGGUCGUGAAAACUUGGGGCUUAACUCUGAGCUUGCGGUCGAUACGGGCAGACUUGAGUUCGGCAGGGGAGACUGGAAUUCCUGGUGUAGCGGUGAAAUGCGCAGAUAUCAGGAGGAACACCGGUGGCGAAGGCGGGUCUCUGGGCCGACACUGACGCUGAGGAGCGAAAGCGUGGGGAGCGAACAGG